rnacentral:rRNA from 1 species
CCUACGGGAGGCAGCAGUGAGGAAUAUUGGUCAAUGGACGAGAGUCUGAACCAGCCAAGUAGCGUGAAGGAUGACUGCCCUAUGGGUUGUAAACUUCUUUUAUAAAGGAAUAAAACGAGGCACGUGUGCCGUUUUGCAUGUACUUUAUGAAUAAGGAUCGGCUAACUCCGUGCCAGCAGCCGCGGUAAUACGGAGGAUCCGAGCGUUAUCCGGAUUUAUUGGGUGUAAAGGGAGCGUAGAUGGGUUGUUAAGUCAGUUGUGAAAGUUUGCGGCUCAACCGUAAAAUUGCAAUUGAUACUGGCAGUCUUGAGUACAGUUGAGGUAGGCGGAAUUCGUGGUGUAGCGGUGAAAUGCUUAGAUAUCACGAAGAACCCCGAUUGCGAAGGCAGCUUACUAAACUGUGACUGACAUUGAUGCUCGAAAGUGUGGGUAUCAAACAGGAUUAGAUACCCUGGUAGUC